GACGAACGCUGGCGGCGUGCCUAAUACAUGCAAGUAGAACGCACAGUUUAUACCGUAGCUUGCUACACCAUAGACUGUGAGUUGCGAACGGGUGAGUAACGCGUAGGUAACCUGCCUGGUAGCGGGGGAUAACUAUUGGCAACGCUAGCUAAUACCGCAUAAUAUUGAUUAUUGCAUGAUAAUUGAUUGAAAGAUGCUAUUGCAUCACUACCAGCUGGACCUGCGUUGUAUUAGCUAGUAGGUGAGGUAACGGCUCACCUAGGCGACGAUACAUAGCCGACCGGAGAGGGUGAUCGGCCACACUGGGACUGAGACACGGCCCAGACUCCUACGGGAGGCAGCAGUAGGGAAUCUUCGGCAAUGGACGAAAGGCUGACCGAGCAACGCCGCGUGAGUGAAGAAGGUUUUCGGAUCGUAAAGCUCUGUUGUAAGAGAAGAACGGGUGUGAGAGUGGAAAGUUCACACUGUGACGGUAUCUAACCAGAAAGGGACGGCUAACUACGUG
rnacentral:rRNA from 1 species